rnacentral:rRNA from 1 species
UACGGAGGGAGCUAGCGUUGUUCGGAAUUACUGGGCGUAAAGCGCACGUAGGCGGCUAUUCAAGUCGGGGGUGAAAGCCCGGGGCUCAACCCCGGAACUGCCCUCGAAACUAGGUAGCUAGAAUCUUGGAGAGGUCAGUGGAAUUCCGAGUGUAGAGGUGAAAUUCGUAGAUAUUCGGAAGAACACCAGUGGCGAAGGCGGCUCACUGGACCGGUAUUGACGCUGAGGUGCGAAAGCGUGGGGAGCAAACAGG